rnacentral:rRNA from 1 species
AUUGAACGCUGGCGGCAUGCUUUACACAUGCAAGUCGAACGGCAGCGGGGUAGUGCUUGCACUACUGCCGGCGAGCGGCGAACGGGUGAGUAAUAUAUCGGAACGUACCGAGUAAUGGGGGAUAACCAAUCGAAAGAUUGGCUAAUACCGCAUACGUCCUGAGGGAGAAAGCGGGGGAUCGCAAGACCUCGCGUUAUUCGAGCGGCCGAUAACUGAUUAGCUAGUUGGUGGGGUAAAGGCCUACCAAGGCGACGAUCAGUAGCGGGUCUGAGAGGACGAUCCGCCACACUGGGACUGAGACACGGCCCAGACUCCUACGGGAGGCAGCAGUGGGGAAUUUUGGACAAUGGGGGCAACCCUGAUCCAGCCAUGCCGCGUGUAUGAAGAAGGCCUUCGGGUUGUAAAGUACUUUUGUUAGGGAAGAAAAGGGAAGUGCUAAUACCACUUUUUGCUGACGGUACCUAAAGAAUAAGCACCGGCUAACUACGUG